UGGGGAAUCUUGCGCAAUGGGCGAAAGCCUGACGCAGCCAUGCCGCGUGAAUGAUGAAGGUCUUAGGAUUGUAAAAUUCUUUCACCGGGGACGAUAAUGACGGUACCCGGAGAAGAAGCCCCGGCUAACUUCAUGCCAGCAGCCGCGGUAAUACGAAGGGGGCUAGCGUUGCUCGGAAUUACUGGGCGUAAAGGGCGCGUAGGCGGAUCGUUAAGUCAGAGGUGAAAUCCCAGGGCUCAACCCUGGAACUGCCUUUGAUACUGGCGAUCUUGAGUAUGAGAGAGGUAUGUGGAACUCCGAGUGUAGAGGUGAAAUUCGUAGAUAUUCGGAAGAACACCAGUGGCGAAGGCGACAUACUGGCUCAUUACUGACGCUGAGGCGCGAAAGCGUGGGGAGCAAACAGG
rnacentral:rRNA from 1 species